GAUGAACGCUGGCGGCGUGCCUAAUACAUGCAAGUCGAGCGAACAGACGAGGAGCUUGCUCCUCUGACGUUAGCGGCGGACGGGUGAGUAACACGUGGAUAACCUACCUAUAAGACUGGGAUAACUUCGGGAAACCGGAGCUAAUACCGGAUAAUAUAUUGAACCGCAUGGUUCAAUAGUGAAAGACGGUUUUGCUGUCACUUAUAGAUGGAUCCGCGCCGCAUUAGCUAGUUGGUAAGGUAACGGCUUACCAAGGCAACGAUGCGUAGCCGACCUGAGAGGGUGAUCGGCCACACGGGAACUUAGACACGGUCCAGACUCCUACGGGAGGCAGCAGUAGGGAAUCGUCCGCAAUGGGCGAAAGCUUGACGGAGCAACGCCGAGUGAGUGAUGAAGGUCUUCGGAUCGUAAAACUCUGUUAUUAGGGAAGAACAAAUGUGUAAGUAACUAUGCACGUCUUGACGGUACCUAAUCAGAAAGCCACGGCUAACUACGUG
rnacentral:rRNA from 1 species